AUACGGAGGAUCCGAGCGUUAUCCGGAUUUAUUGGGUUUAAAGGGUGCGUAGGCGGCCUUUUAAGUCAGCGGUGAAAGUCAGUGGCUCAACCAUAGAAUUGCCGUUGAAACUGGGAGGCUUGAGUAUGUUUGAGGCAGGCGGAAUGCGUGGUGUAGCGGUGAAAUGCUUAGAUAUCACGCAGAACCCCGGUUGCAAAGGCGGCUCGCCAAGCCAUGACUGACGCUGAUGCACGAAAGCGUGGGGAUCAAACAGGAUUAGAUACCCUGGUAGUCCACGCAGUAAACGAUGAUCACUAGCUGUUUGCGAUACACUGUAAGCGGCACAGCGAAAGCGUUAAGUGAUCCACCUGGGGAGUACGCCGGCAACGGUGAAACUCAAAUGAAUUGACGGGG
rnacentral:rRNA from 1 species